rnacentral:rRNA from 1 species
UACAGAGGGUGCAAGCGUUAAUCGGAAUUACUGGGCGUAAAGCGUGCGCAGGCGGUUAUGUAAGACAGAUGUGAAAUGCCCGGGCUCAACCUGGGAACUGCAUUUGUGACUGCAUGGCUAGAGUUUGGCAGAGGGGGGUAGAAUUCCACGUGUAGCAGUGAAAUGCGUAGAUAUGUGGAGGAAUACCGAUGGCGAAGGCAGCCCCCUGGGUCAAGACUGACGCUCAUGCACGAAAGCGUGGGGAGCAAACAGG